GGUCCAAACACAGUCGGGCCCAAUCCGAAGGCAAGGGAGGGAGAGCUCAGUUAGGAAAAAAAACAUGGAAAACGUUUUCUUUCUCUCAUUCCCUCAAUUCCCCUCUCAUUCCCUCCACUGCACCGGAGCUCACUGUCGGCGGUGGUUGAGCCUCAUUUCAAAAAAUCAAGCAUACAAACACAACCAGAAUUACAUGCUAAGUCUCAAUCCAUAUAUUGUUUUUCAUAAUUCCUCAAAACAAGUCCGGAUCGAAAGGAUAGAAGCAAGAACUCUAAGUCUAUCAACAAAAAUAAAAUGACGAACAACAAGAAUUAGAGCCUUAUUUGUUAGGGCUUUGAUUCAUCUCAAUGCAAGCUACAUGGUGGUAACUCACUUGAAGUGAAAUGAUGAAGGUUGAAGAUGCACUCAUCGGAGCACCGUGCCAGAAAUGUCGGGAUAUAUGUUAUGUAGUAGCUUGGCAUGGUGAUGAUGAUAAUGAUGUAGCAUGACAUGUUUCCAGGUUGUGAGAUUAUGCAGGCAAGUUUUGGUGUGUUGCUGCAGGGUUAGUUCAAGGUCCAUGUGGUGAUACAGGGCCAGUAAUGGCAUGUUGUUGAUGCAAGUCUUCAUGUAGCAUGUUGCAAUAGACUUCAUGACUGGCGUGAUCUGAUGCACGAAGUUGUGAUGAGGGUCAUGGUUUAAUGUAGCAUAUGGCAAGGUAAUUAGUAUGUGGCUUUCAGCAAGUAAGGAAAAAUGUUUGGAGUUCAGGUCAAGGUGACUUAAUGAAGGCUGAUGCAAGGCAUUGUUGUUGCAGGCAGGGCAACUGGCCAAGUUUCAUGUGCUUGCAAAAUGUUUGAUGUACCAAUGCACCUUGUCUUUCAUGUUAAUCAAUGCUUGUGAAAUAUAUGAUUGGUUAUAUGUUUGGGAUGCAUUAUUUUUUCAUGAGGUUUGGCUUGUGAAAGGCAAAGGGUGGCAAGAAAAUGCAAAGCAAGAAGGCCAUGGUUAUGGCAUGGUGUGGUCAAAAAUGGAAAUUCUUGUUUGUAAAGCCAUAUGGGAUUUUAUGAGUUAUGUAUGGAUAUAAUGUAAUUAGAAUUAGGUUUAGGAUGAAAAAAUGCAAUGGUUGACUUCGUUAAAUGUUUGACCAAAAAGUCAACAGUUGACCAAAAUGACAAUUUUUAAAAAAUGUAAUUUUUUAAUUUCUUUUUCUAAUGGACUAUUUAUGAAUUAAUAAAUGAAUUAAAUGAUCAAUGAUUUGAAUGAAA